rnacentral:rRNA from 1 species
AUGAACGCUGGCGGCGUGCCUAAUACAUGCAAGUCGAGCGAACAGACGAGGAGCUUGCUCCUCUGACGUUAGCGGCGGACGGGUGAGUAACACGUGGAUAACCUACCUAUAAGACUGGGAUAACUUCGGGAAACCGGAGCUAAUACCGGAUAAUAUAUUGAACCGCAUGGUUCAAUAGUGAAAGACGGUUUUGCUGUCACUUAUAGAUGGAUCCGCGCCGCAUUAGCUAGUUGGUAAGGUAACGGCUUACCAAGGCAACGAUGCGUAGCCGACCUGAGAGGGUGAUCGGCCACACUGGAACUGCGACACGGUCCAGACUCCUACGGGAGGCAGCAGUAGGGAAUCUUCCGCAAUGGGCGAAAGCCUGACGGAGCAACGCCGCGUGAGUGAUGAAGGUCUUCGGAUCGUAAAACUCUGUUAUUAGGGAAGAACAAAUGUGUAAGUAACUAUGCACGCCUUGACGGUACCUAAUCAGAAAGCCACGGCUAACUACGUG